AUCGAUGCUUGGCCUUUGGCUGAGAUCAAGUGCAGUAUGUUAUUAUCAGUUUAAUAUCUGACACAUCCUCCGUCUGACGACGUUAUCAUAAAUGGAAUUUGGAGCUGGCAGGUGAAAUCGGAGUUUGCUCCAUCCACUCUCAGCAUCAACCUGAUAUUGUGGUAGUUCUGGAAAUGGUGCACCACCU